GAACCUCAUCUUUGUUAAAUGCCUCUUCAUUUGAUUUUUUUAGUUAUCAAUUAAAUGUAGAUUUAACCUAAACCCUUUGUAAAACCUUACAGGUUCAUCUUUUUUUAUUUGUAGAAAUUGGAACAGAUUGUUUUGGAUGAGGUGGACAUGUUUGCUUUCCAACCUAUGCAUUCCCGUGAUUGUUCCCAGGUGUGGAACUCUGUUUCCUCUUUGUUUUCUAGCUUGCUACCACUUUUCUCUUUGCUGGCCUUCUGGUUCACUUGUUACUUAUUUCUUAUUGUUGCAUGAACCUUAUUCUUAUCCUGAAUCUUUGGGAUGUUGCUUAUGAAAUUCUUAUUAAUUUUGAUUUUUUGGUUUUUUUUUUUCAAGUGUAUAAUUUGGUAUUUGAGCAAAGGAUGUAGUUUAGAUAAGUGUCACUUUGAACUUUGAAGCAAAGGGCAGGGAGCUUUCAUUCUUCAUUUCUUUGUUCUCUAGCAUAUGUAUGUUCUCUAAACUUGGUCAGCAUAUCAUUGAGGCUUCAAUCUUUGCACAAACAUGUUCGUGUGCCUUUUGUUGGCAUCUUGGAAUAUAUAAGAUUUACACAGGCUUUCAUUACAUCUGCAAAUGUCCUGACUAUCCAAAUUUCCUUUUAAUGUUAGAUACAACGAUUAGCAGCAAUUUACCGUUUGCGCAGUGGUUGCCAAGGUUCGGGUAAGAAAAGGUGGGUACCAUUAUAUAUAAUUUGGCAUGCACGUCUGUUUGUGUAUACAUGUCUGAGAAGACAUCAUGAUAUGUGUGCUUAUCUUGAUGCUGAACUAGCUGCCUCUCUGUUUGUUUUACUAGCUGCCUCUCUGUUGUUUUAGAUUUUUAACAGUGACAAGAACUCAGCACACAAGCAUGCCAUCUCCAAGUGAUAAACUUCGUCUAGAAAAGGUUUCAAAUUUCCAUAUACUCGCGUCUGUCAUUUUAACUUCUGUUCUUAUAUUGCUUUGCCGACUACUUUCUGAGGUUCACAUUAUUUACUAGGAUGAUCAUUAAAUACUGCUACUAUAAACACUAGAAGUUGACUGGCAUUUUUUUUUUGAAUUUCA
rnacentral:misc_RNA from 1 species